CAUGUAGUCGUGUAUUAUCUGUUGACUGUUUGCAAAUGGAUCGUUUUGAUUCUACAUAAGAAUCAUUUUGUUAUUGUGUGUUAGGUAUUCGAGUUGUUCCCACAUCCAGAUAUGGUGAAUAAAGUGUGUAAAGGUACUCGACCUAAGAGAAAUCACAUUGACGACGAAGAUAACCGCGAUGAAAAUCAUAAAAGGAGAUAUAGCAGUUGAGAUCGUUAUUUAACCAGAGAUAAAUACCAUAAGGGUGGCGGUCGCAAAUAUGAAGAAUUAAAAGCUGGUAAUUACUACUCUGCUACUAUUCUGGUGGUACAAUUGUUGGUAACCGGAAAGGUGAUGAUGAAUCCAGAUAUAGUAGUAAAGAUCGUCGCGGAAAAGAGAACAGAUUGAGAAAUGAAGACAAUAAGAAGGAUGAACCAAUUGGCACUCUAUAUUAUUCAGGUGGAAUAGGAAUGGUUGAACGUGAGUGUGGUAAAGAAUUAAGCAGUGAUGAAGAUGAUAAAAUUGGACAUCAUAACUAUUCCACUGAUGCAGCUGAUUCUUAGAAAAAGAAUAUCGAAAGUUACUGGAAUAAGUAUGAUAAGAAAGAGAAAAAACCAAAGGAUGACAAUAAUAUUCUUUUACAUCGGAACGAAACUAUUGAUUUACUAACAUCUAAAAUUGAAGGUGCCUUUAUAUACCAUCAGUUAAAUUAAGAAUUAUGCAAGAAAGUUUUACAGUAAAAAUUAAGUUCAUUAUUAUCGAUUUUGAUUCACAAAGAGUAUCGAGGGCGAUGAGUAAUACCUUGAAUAAGUACAAGCCAAUAAAAAUGCAAGGCAGACCUAUAUUACUCACAGGAGACAACAAUAUGUGAAUGUGUCGAGAGACAAUCCUCCGAUGGGCACUUAAUAAAAUAUGCCCUUGCUCCACCAGGAUGCAGAACUGACAACUUGGCACUUGCCAAUGUAGAUGCUAUAUCAAUAGCUACUCACUGACUGGAGCAAAAUAUUAAGCAAAUUUAUUUUUUAUUUUUUAAGACUAAUUUUGUAAAGAAAAAUAUAAUAUAAUACAUUGUCACAAUCCCUUUUGUGAUAGAUAUAAUUCUAACAAAA